UUUGUCUCCAGGAUAGGGACGCAACCUCCAGCAGCCUCGCGUGGCCCCAGAGUUCCGGCAAGGGUCGCGCAGGCAUAAAGGCUGUUGGAUACCCCUGGAACUGCGUUUAGAAACAGAUGUGAUCUAUGUGUCGGAGAGGAAGCCAAGUCCUGGUGCUCUGGAACCUAAAACUGAAUGUCCCUUCCACUCAGGAAUUUCUCUCUCAGACAUCAUCUGACCUGUGUGCAAAGGUGAGCAUGAGUGACUCCAUACCUCUCAGCUAG
rnacentral:lncRNA from 1 species